GAUGAACGCUGGCGGCGUGCCUAAUACAUGCAAGUCGAGCGAACGGACGAGAAGCUUGCUUUUCUGAUGUUAGCGGCGGACGGGUGAGUAACACGUGGAUAACCUACCUAUAGGACUGGGAUAACUUCGGGAAACCGGAGCUAAUACCGGAUAAUAUUUUGAACCGCAUGGUUCAUAAGUGAAAGACGGUCUUGCUGUCACUUAUAGAUGGAUCCGCGCUGCAUUAGCUAGUUGGUAAGGUAACGGCUUACCAAGGCAACGAUGCAUAGCCGACCUGAGAGGGUGAUCGGCCACACUGGAACUGAGACACGGUCCAGACUCCUACGGGAGGCAGCAGUAGGGAAUCUUCCGCAAUGGGCGAAAGCCUGACGGAGCAACGCCACGUGAGUGAUGAAGGUCUUCGGAUCGUAAAACUCUGUUAUUAGGGAAGAACAUAUGUGUAAGUAACUGUGCACAUCUUGACGGUACCUAACCAGAAAGCCACGGCUAACUACGUG
rnacentral:rRNA from 1 species